rnacentral:lncRNA from 1 species
AUUGCAAAGUCCUCGAGUAUGUGUGUUUUAAGGACAGCUGGGAAGCCAGGGUGUCUGAGCACAGAGAACAAGCGAGAGGAUCGAGAGUACAUGUAUGAACUUGUUAUACAGGCCUUUAUUAUCUGAAGACUGAAAGACUGAAUGAGAAAUGCAUCUGAUCUAAUGCUGAGACAGUCGAAUUUGGGAAUUUGAAAUGCGAUUUACCAGAGAGCAACUUGGGCUUAGCACAUGGCUGAGGAAGAGAGGAAGAGGAAGGUUGGACUUUCCAUUUCAGAGAUGGAAGAGGUCAAGGAAAAUCUGCA